AUGUAAAAGAAAAAAAAAAAUUAUAAAAGAAUUAGUGGAACCCACCACCAUCACCUUAAGGCCUUGAGACCACAUUUGGUCUCUAUCCUCUCUUCUCCCGCUGGUUCUCUCUCACGCCCUUUAUUGUUUUUUUUUUUUUCUUUUCUUUUUCAAUCAAAAUUUUAGAGCUUAAUUACUCUCUCAAUACUUAGUAAUUUUGGAUACCGUUUGCAGCAAAUUGAAGCCCACGACAAGAUCUUCAAAUUCAUACCAGCAAUUUCAGCUUUUGGCCAUUCUCGGGAGUCCGAAAAUUGAGACCCAUUUUGAGAGUUUGAGGUGAAAAUUGGAGAUUUUGGCUUAAAUUGAGGUUCGGAAAAGAAGUGGCGAAUGACAAUCCCCCGCAAGCUUGAAGAAGAUUAGGAGUUGAAUUUUGUUAUCUUUUGUGUUUUAGCUCAUUUUUUUUUUU